rnacentral:misc_RNA from 1 species
ACUCCUUUUCGCCGUAUAGAGCCAUUUCUGGUAGCUGCCAGGGAUCAUUCUUGUAAAGAUCAAUCUCCGCAAUAAUCGGAACAGAAAUAGGCUGUCCUGCACACUUCCUAAUCAAGUAAUGAUUCACCAAUUCAUCGUCAGUCGGAUGAAAUCUGAACCCAGGAGGUAACUCCAGCUCAGCUCCCUUCAUUUCUACUUUUCAAGUCUCUCUCUAGAUUUCUCUUCUCUUCUCUUCCCUUUAUAGCUGCCGCCUUUUUAGAAUUUGCUCCUCUUUUUUACCUUCUUUCUUUGCUUAUUCUAGUCUCGCUCUGGCUCUGCCGCUGAUGCUGCUCGCUUGAAAGACUUGAACACAAGACAGUAAGAGCGAAACGAAGGUUUUAUAAGGCGAGAACCCAAAAAUUAAAAUU